AAAUUUCAAUUUAGAAUUACUCCUGCACACCUCGAACUCUAACCGCCCUAUCCCUCACACCCACUCUCUCUCAGGCGUUGUCACGACGGACAAAUGAGAAGGAAUCCUCACAAUCUUCACCCCUCUGCUCGGCUAUUCCGUCUCCCGUCCUCUACCUCACCAUUCAAUCGAAAAUCGUGGCGCCGCCUGCUUCUGCUCGACUAUUACUCAGUCACUGUUCUCCCAGCCGCAUCACCACCACCACCGAUCGUACGUCGCGGCUAUUGCAGCCGCCUUCAACCGCGCUCUCCCUUGGACAAAAAAUCAAAGCUACUUAAUUGUAUUACUUCUCGUUUUUGACAAUCAUGAUUAAAUUUCCUUGCUUCGCUCGUCCUUUGUGAUUGCAGGUUUUCUAGGACAUGCAUUAUUUGGGUAAAGAUUGGGGGAUAUAUUUUUGUGAUGAUGAUAAUGGGGAUUCUGCAGAUCGGAAAGUGCUCUUAGAGGAGUCAUUGAAAAAGUUGUCACGAUGAUUAAUCAAUGUUCAACUCUUCCAAUGUACAAUGGAGUGACUUUUUGAUCAAGAGCUUGAAGAAAAAUUAUGAGUCCUAGAUUAAGUGCUUAGUAAUUUAGACAUUUAAAAUUAUAUGUAGUUAGUAAUUUCAGACUUGUACUUUGAUUUUGUUAAAUAUUUUUUUAUGUAAAUGUUCUGUAUGAUAUUCUUGUUACAUUUAAUGUGUUGAGUAUUUGAUUUU